UACGUAGGGAGCAAGCGUUGUCCGGAAUCAUUGGGCGUAAAGCGCGCGUAGGUGGCCUCAUAAGUCCGCUGUGAAAGUCAAAGGCUCAACCUUUGAAAGCCGGUGGAUACUGUGAGGCUAGAGUACGGAAGAGGCGAGUGGAAUUCCUGGUGUAGCGGUGGAAUGCGCAGAUAUCAGGAGGAGCACCAAUAGCGAAGGCAGCUCGCUGGGACGUUACUGACACUGAGGCGCGAAAGCGUGGGGAGCGAACAGG
rnacentral:rRNA from 1 species